rnacentral:lncRNA from 1 species
UUUUCGGGGUUCGGGGACCGGUCCUUGCGAUGAGAGACCGGUCCCCGAAAGGCCAGAAUUCCAGACUUAGCCAAUUUUUCAGCAUUUUCAGCCUUUACCCUUUUUCACUCCGUUUUCGCUCAUUUUCGCUCGUUUGACCUCCGAUUCUUUUCAAAUCGAACCGGGACUCUCCAAACAUGUUUUCAAACAUGUUUUCAUCAUCUUUU